rnacentral:rRNA from 1 species
UACGAAGGGGGCUAGCGUUGCUCGGAAUGACUGGGCGUAAAGGGCGCGUAGGCGGACGGCUUUGUCGGGCGUGAAAUUCCAGGGCUUAACCUUGGGGGUGCGUUCGAGACGGGUUGUCUUGAGUGGGGAAGAGGGUCGUGGAAUUCCCAGUGUAGAGGUGAAAUUCGUAGAUAUGGGGAGGAACACCGGUGGCGAAGGCGGCCAUCUGGACGGUAACUGACGCUGAGACGCGAAAGCGUGGGUAGCAAACAGG